rnacentral:rRNA from 1 species
CCUACGGGAGGCAGCAGUAGGGAAUUUUUCACAAUGGGCGAAAGCCUGAAGGAGCAAUGCCGCGUGAAUGAUGAAGGUCCUAUAGAUUGUAAAAUUCUUUUAUUUGGGAAGAAAAACUAAAGUAGGAAAUUACUUUAGUCUGACUGUACCAUUUGAAUAAGUAUCGGCUAACUAUGUGCCAGCAGCCGCGGUAAUACAUAGGAUGCAAGCGUUAUCCGUUUUAACUGGGCGUAAGACGAGCGCAGGCGGGUUAACAAGUUGGGUAUGAAAGGCUUUUGCUUAACGAAAGAUUGUAUCAAAAACUGGUAGUCUAGAGUGUAGUAGAGAGUGCUGGAAUGCGAGGUGGAGCGGUGGAAUGCGUAGAUAUAAGGAAGAACACCGAUGGCGAAGGCGAGAACUUAGGCUAUCACUGACGCUUAGGCUCGAAAGUGUGGGGAGCAAAUAGGAUUAGAUACCCUUGUAGUC